UAUCCCAUGCUUCCUCUUUCCCUUUCCCUCCUCUUUCCUUUUUUUCCUUUUACCGAUUCUCUCUCCGACUUGCUCUCGCAUCACAUACCAAGCUCUCCUCGUAAAUAACUUCUCAAGGUGUAUCAAAUCCUCCAUUAUUUUGUUGUUAAUUUCUGCAAUCUUCGUUUUCCUCUGGGUUCGCAAUGAGAAAUUGGUCGUAAAUUUAGGGUGAGGAGAGAGACAAAGAAUCUGAGACAACCAUCAGCCAUGGGAGACAAAAAGGUCAAAACAGAAGCAUUGCAAGUUAUAAUUUGUUACAAGUUCUUCCCAAAUUGAUUCUCUUUGAUCAAUCUCGAUUAUACUAUCUGGUCUUUCUACUGACGUCUGUUGAGAUGUUUGAUUAUUUCUACAAGUUGUUGCAACAUUGGCCUACUAAUAUUACUUUCCACAAGGAGUUGAUUUCUAGUAAGUUGUGAUUCGCACAGUGGCCCCCGUACUUAGGUAUUCCAGAAUAAUAUAGUAGGUUGGUAGAUCGAAAUCAUGUGGCUUGGGAUGAUUGAGAGAGUUGCAUGCUUUCGUACUUUGAAACUAUUCUAUUUAUACUUUAAUUAUGUUUGAAUUCGUUGAACUUUUUAUACUUUGGUUUUUGGGCCGUCAUGGUUCCAAUUUGUAGGAGGCCUCGUGUGAGGGGGGCGAAAAAGCACGAGGCUAAUGCGUGACCUCGUCCCUCGUGGGUGUGACGCCUCUUUUUUGUCAAAUCAAGUGUAAUUGGAUUUCCUGUGAGUUUACACCCAAUUGACUAGUAAUAUAGGAGUCGCCAUUCAGUUUUUAACGACAAUGAGAAAAACUGACAAAACCCAGUUAUCGUGACAUAA